UGUGUGAUAUGAUUGAUAUAAAUGCAAAACAUAUUUCAUUAUUAUAUGUCAUUUCAUAUAAAAAAAUAUUAUUGCUUGAUUGAUAAAUUGGUGUUUAGCGCCACUUUUAUCACUGGUGUGCGAUAUCGUGUGGUCAGUUGUUAUAUACUGUUGGAGAAAGCUUGAAGCUUAAAAUAAUGUCUUGAUGUCUUAUUUUCCACUAAUAAAAGUGUUUGACAGUCUGGGUGAGACCAGUCUAUUUUAGUUAAAAAUCAGCUAUUUGUCAAGUUAUUAACAUUAAAAUACGUUUCUGUCGUUUACCAUUGCACUUCUAGUGCCUCGCAUAUGCACAUAUAUAAAAUCACUACAGUUCAUUAAAAU
rnacentral:lncRNA from 1 species